UACAGAGGUCCCAAGCGUUGUUCGGAUUUACUGGGCGUAAAGGGUGCGUAGGUGGCGAGGUAAGUUUGAUGUGAAAUCUCCGAGCUCAACUCGGAAAUGGCAUUGAAUACUAUCCCGCUUGAGGGUCGGAGGGGAGACUGGAAUUCUCGGUGUAGCAGUGAAAUGCGUAGAUAUCAGGAGGAACACCGAUGGCGAAGGCAGGUCUCUGGGCUGACACUGACGCUCAUGCACAAA
rnacentral:rRNA from 1 species